rnacentral:rRNA from 1 species
GGUAGCAUAAUCACUUGUCCCCUAAAUAGGGACUAGAAUGAACGGCUAAAUGAAGACUCAACUGUCUCUUGCAGUCUACCAAUGAAACUGAUCUCUUAGUUCAAAAGCUAAGAUUUCUUCACAAGACGAGAAGACCCUGUGGAGCUAUUAAACCAAACUCACAAAAAUGACCCCUUGGUUUUCAGUUGGGGCGACUUCGGAGCAUAAAAAACCCUCCGACACAGUACCAAUCAAACCCAGAUGGACACAUCAAUACACCAAGACCCAGUAGCUUAUUUUUAAGCUAUCUGAUCAAUGAACCAAGUUACCCCAGGGAUAACAGCGCCAUCCUCUCUUAGAGUCCCUAUCGACGAGAGGGAUUACGACCUCGAUGUUGGAUCAGGACACCCUAAUAGUGCAGCCGCUAUUAAUGGUUCGUUUGUUCAACGAUUAAUAGUCCUACGUGAUCUGAGUUCAGACCGGA